rnacentral:rRNA from 1 species
AGAGUUUGAUCAUGGCUCAGGAUGAACGCUAGCGGCAGGCCUAAUACAUGCAAGUCGAACGGUCAGCAAUGACAGUGGCGCACGGGUGCGUAACGCGUAUGCAACCUACCCAUCAAAGGGGGAUAGCCCGGGGAAACCCGGAUUAAUACCGCAUAAGAUAGUAUUCUGGCAUCAGAGAGCUAUUAAACAUUUAUGGUUGAUGGAUGGGCAUGCGUUAGAUUAGCUAGUUGGUGUAGUAACGGUGCACCAAGGCAAUGAUCUAUAGGGGUUCUGAGAGGAAGAUCCCCCACACUGGUACUGAGAUACGGACCAGACUCCUACGGGAGGCAGCAGUAGGGAAUAUUGGGCAAUGCUCGCAAGAGUGACCCAGCCAUGCCGCGUGCAGGAAGAAGGCCUUCUGGGUUGUAAACUGCUUUUGGAAGGGAACAAAAUGGGCAUGCGUGCCAACUUGAGUGUACCUUCAGAAUAAGCACCGGCUAACUCCGUGCCAGCAGCCGCGGUAAUACGGAGGGUGCAAGCGUUGUCCGGAUUUAUUGGGUUUAAAGGGUGCGUAGGCGGCUUAUUAAGUCAGGGGUGAAAGACUAUUGCUUAACAAUGGCAGUGCCUUUGAUACUGAUAGGCUUGAGUACAGCUGAGGCAGAUGGAACGGGUGGUGUAGCGGUGAAAUGCAUAGAUACCAUCCAGAACACCGAUUGCGAAGGCAGUCUGCUAAACUGUAACUGACGCUGAGGCACGAAAGCGUGGGGAUCGAACAGGAUUAGAUACCCCAGUAGUCC